AACGAACGCUGGCGGCAGGCUUAACACAUGCAAGUCGAGCGCCCCGCAAGGGGAGCGGCAGACGGGUGAGUAACGCGUGGGAAUCUACCCAUCCCUACGGAACAACUCCGGGAAACUGGAGCUAAUACCGUAUACGCCCUUCGGGGGACAGAUUUAUCGGGGAUGGAUGAGCCCGCGCUGGAUUAGCUAGUUGGUGGGGUAAAGGCCUACCAAGGCGACGAUCCAUAGCUGGUCUGAGAGGAUGAUCAGCCACACUGGGACUGAGACACGGCCCAGACUCCUACGGGAGGCAGCAGUGGGGAAUAUUGGACAAUGGGCGAAAGCCUGAUCCAGCCAUGCCGCGUGAGUGAUGAAGGCCUUAGGGUUGUAAAGCUCUUUCACCGGUGAAGAUAAUGACGGUAACCGGAGAAGAAGCCCCGGCUAACUUCGUGCCAGCCGCCGCAGUAAAAC
rnacentral:rRNA from 1 species